GUUAUAUUUUCGUUAUGAGAGCAACACAACAUAUCAUUCAGUUCAUGUACAGUACAACACUCUUCGUGUUGCAUGGAAAUGAGUAUCUGGACGCAUACAGCUCGAAGUACGAAUCAAUUAAAUGGCGCAUAGCGGAAUGAAUAAACAUUCGUGAUAAUUAUACACCACUCUCGUCUCUAAACUUCGACCUAGACGCCGAAUCGCCGAAAAAAAAACCACCAAAAGUACCAUUACCAGCAUCACAAUAACAAGACGUCCGUGAGAGAGCGACGAGCGAUGGAUGGCGAUGGCGCACAAUAAACGAUUCAAGAUACAAGAGACACUGUGUAUCCGGUUGCUGGGUUCGAUUAUCUACUCGUGUGUAUACCUGCGAGUACUAUGGGAGGACGAUGGAUGGCGAUGCGGGAGACAAUGCAACCAGUGACGAAGAGAGUUUCUGAAACGAUGGAUUAAAGUUCUCGCUCAUUCAAUAGAGCCCCGAAAAUAGUCAGUUCAAUUCCAAAGUUGAAAAUGGGCAUGCAGUGGAUAGAAAAAAUUCACGAAUUCCGCAACUGAUUUGAAUAUUGAUGGCAUUUUCUGGGCUGCAAACGAUGCAUUAUUUGUUGGAAGCUGGAAGCAUUAAAAAAUAGAUCCAAAGUUGCAGAAGGAAUUGAAAACGAUAAAAGCGUGAUUUGAGAAAUUAUUGAUUUCUGAUACCUACCCACUUCACGAAAACAAUUCAUCGUACAAUAAAGCAAUAGUACCUCUAUAAAAUAAACAAACAACUCGAACGAGCAUUUUGCACCGCUGACAGGCCUACUGCAAUGAGAAUUGAAACAAUAUGGCAAAAAUUUGCACCAUCUUUGAUAUCUUACCUACCAUUCGACAUCGAGGGAGAGUUCGAUUGGUAUUGGGAAAAGACCACCGUAUACAAUGCAGUCUGUUUAUUGUACCGUUAAUAUGUACGAGACGUCUCUAAAGUGGACCCUUUUCCUGCUCGAUCGUCGAUAUAUUUACAUCUCGAGACUCGAUGGUUGAGUCGCGUUUAAUUUGAACGAGAAGGAAGGAUCAAGUAGCAAAGACAUGAAGAGCCUCUCACUAUACAAUAAGGACCACCUUAUGCGAAGGUAGCUGCACUUCAACCAUGAUAAGAAACGUCUAGUGGACCUUGAAUUCUACGGAAAAGACAUGGUUUUCGAGAAUUUUUUCAUGAAGUUCGAAUACGUAAUAAAAUUUCAAAAAAAAAUAUAAAUGAAGAAGGUCAGGACUAGAAAAUAUCGAGAGCAGACUACGAAAACUCGUCUCCUCACUGUACUGUCUCUCCCAAAGUGUACCACACGAGUUGAAAAAGGCUAUGGACUUGUGUAGAAUUUGGAUGAUUUGACAGUCGACAACCGAUCGAUCGUGGAGAACUGGAGAUUUGAAGAAAGAUGUCGAAUAAGUUGCCUAAGCAGUUGGUGUAAAGGAGCGUGCCAUGCCUCAAUUCGUCGGGUUAUUUUGCAUAGGCUGGUCUCACAUGUUUUAUGACAUCAAUUACCUAAUCAAUUAUUAUCGAUCUGUUUGCUGAUGAAAAUCAUCGGUCCAUUUCUGAGCUAAAAUUUGAGUCUAGUUUUUUUUUUUUUUUUUUUUUUUUUGUUAGGAAAAUACCUUUUUGUGACUUAUUUGACUAAUUUAAAAAUGGUUUUUCCUCAAAAAUUACCAAAAAGUCUCACAUUGUUGUUAAAAAUUACUAAAAGUUUCACUUUUUUAGCCGAAAAGUUCUCAAAAUUGAUGCUGUUUAGUAAAAAAUUCCAAAAAGUCUCAAUUGUUUUCAAAAAUUGUUUAUAGUGUCGCUAAAUUGCCCAAAAUUUCUCAAAAAAGCUCUGCAGUUUUUGUUUAAAUUGUUACUUUUCAUGUCAAAAAUUUACAAAAAGUCUCGGUUUUAGAAAAAAAAAAAAAAAUUACCCGAAAACCUCGCUUGUUUGAUAGAUACAAAUUGAGAAAAAAUCACGUAAAAAAAAUAAUGAUGAAAAUUUCCAAAUAGCUCUACUUCUUGCUCAAAUUGUCAAAUCUUGUUUUUUUUUAAACAAAGUGAGAGGAUCCCUCCGCAAGUUUUUAAAAUUUUUGGACUUAUUAAAAGAAGCUAUUUUGCUGACUUUUUUGGAACUUGAAUUACAAAAAUUGACUUCUGAUGAUAGAAAAAAAAAAAACAAUAAUAAUUUUUGAAAAAUUGGGCUCUCGCUUCGCUCAGGCCAGUUUGCUUUUUUUUCGAAAUUGUAAUUUCUAAAAAACCAUCAUUCAAAUUAAGUAUUCUGAACUUUUGAAACCAAAAAAAUCAAACCCCUCACAUAAAAAAAACAUUAAGUACUUACCUACUUUUUCACCUAUCAAAAUACGAAUUUUUAAAGAUCUUUUUGCCUUCAGUUCGUUCAGAUCAGUUUGCUUUUCUUUUUCGAAGUUCUAAUUUCUAAAGAACCAUGUUUUCGACUAUCAAAAUAGGAAUUUCUAUGAAUUUUUUUGUUCUAGGUUGUGGUAUAAGUCGAGAAAUGCCUUCAUAGAUUUGGUAGGCUAGACUUUCGACAUUUGAUUUGAUGAUCUGUUCAAAGUUAGAGUCAGGAGUGUGGGAAAAAUUGAGCUUUCGGACGUUAGGUAGGGUCUACCCAACAUAUAGGGUGGUUAAUGUGGUUAUUUUUUUGAGUAGAAUAGACGUAAGUUUUAUAGUUGUGUGUGUUCGCGUUUUAGAAUUAAUCUUUUUCCUUCUUUCAUGUAAUUUUUCGAAUGUUUCGAUUCAAUUAGAAUGACUUAAUUUUCGAGUAAUUGUUUUAUUAAUUUUCGAUA